rnacentral:rRNA from 1 species
UACGUAGGGUGCGAGCGUUGUCCGGAAUUAUUGGGCGUAAAGAGCUUGUAGGCGGUUUGUCGCGUCUGCUGUGAAAAUCCGGGGCUCAACCCCGGACUUGCAGUGGGUACGGGCAGACUAGAGUGUGGUAGGGGGAGACUGGAAUUCCUGGUGUAGCGGUGAAAUGCGCAGAUAUCAGGAGGAACACCGAUGGCGAAGGCAGGGUCUCUGGGCCACUACUGACGCUGAGAAGCGAAAGCAUGGGGAGCGAACAGGAUUAGAAACCCUUGGU